UCAAACUCUGCGGAUAUUUACCUAAAACUUCCAGACCAGUGCAAUUCCGGCUGUUUGAAGACCAUCAAAGCCUAAGUCCCCUGCUGACAGAUGAUGCAGCUGGUAAAAUUUAGCAAUGAAUACACAAGAACACUUACAGAUUUCACUGGUAUUUCUGUAACACGGGAUAGGCUACAACACGAAGGCAGUUUCAGACGUUUUAAGCUUUAAGCACAUGACAACAGCAAUAAUUAUUUGCAGGCUACAAUUACUAGUACUAGCAGACUCAUUUCCUCAUGGGGAAAAAGAGAUUUUAAUGUUUCUUAUGUUCUAAGUAUUUAUAAAAUUAUCGAAAGUCAUGUAAGAAAAGGUUCUCCAGCUGCACCUGAUUAUUCAUUGCACAGGAAAACCCUGUGCAAACACAGUCAGCUGUGUAACGUACAGGACAGCAUUCGGUUCAGCAGAAAAACAAGGAAGAAAAUCUUUUGAAGAGGAAUUAAUGACAUACUCUUGGUUUUAUUUCUUCCCCUCGCUCCCCUCCUUUAUCUUUAGGUGGCUUGAGCUUAAAGUAUGCAUACAUGGAGCUUACUCUAGUCUUAGACUCCUAGAGUCAAGACCCUUAGUCUUGAAAUAAAACAUGUUACAAAAUAAGAUGUCUUCCUUGCACAAACCUCCAUGUAUUUAUUAGUGUGGCCAUAGCCUUUACAUAUAAAAGCGCACAGAAAAGUAAAUUCGUGCAUAAAGUCAAAUCUGCUGUUGAUGCCAGAAUUUAAGAAUGCUGCGUCCACGUCAUAGUCCCUACAGAAACUGAUUGUCAGCUGGCUUCCAGGUGUCACUAGGAGGAACCAUCAGAGCCAAGGCAACGCCAACACUUGAAAAGUUAUCUGCAAAUGUAUUUAAAGUGUUGCUCAGCAUACUCAGGAUAUUCUUGGAUGUCAUUCAUCUGCAAUUACAAGGUGAAGGAUACACUGCUCUAAAGCUGGGAGUGGUGGUGGUGUCAGCGUCACCACAACUACCGAGAGACCACCAAGUUCCUCCUGCAUCUAAAUUCAGCAGAGCACGCCAGACAAACGCAUGCAGUUUCCAGGUUAAAACAUGUGGGAUAAGCGAGAGACAAGUAAGAGAACUCACCAGCUCCUGCCGAGUUCCCAGACAGCUCGAAGCAGACUUUUGCAAUUUAAAAAAAAAAAAAAGUUCAGUAAUUCUCAUGAAAAUAGUGUUAAAAACAAUUAAAAUAAGCUUCAGUCUGAAUGUGUGGUGUGGCAAUCUGUGCCUAUAGUCCAUCACAGAAGGGGAACUUGCCUAUCCUGCAUCCUUUGUUCGGAAGGCCAAGCACAACACCUAACUCUGCCAGUCCCGUUUUGCCCCGCUGUUCUUUGCAAACACAUUUUACCUUACGUUCCCUGCUGAAGGGAAAAAAAGUUUCAUUAUGGCUAUGUUUAUAGGAAGAAGUAUCAACAACCAGUGAAGGAAUGUGAAUAAACCCAAGCAAAGAGCUCCA
rnacentral:lncRNA from 1 species